ACCUCUCUGCCCAAAGGGAUCCUCCCAGGGACUUCUUGCAGGGUUGCUGUUAUGGGCUGAAUUCUGUCCUCCUCCACUCCCCGAAUUCACAUGUUCUAACUCCCAGCACUUUAGAAUGUGACCAUAUUUGGAGACAGGAUCUUUACAGAGGUAAUUAAAUUAAAAUCAUGGUGGUGGGCGCCUGUAGUCCCAUCUACUUGGGAAGCUGAGUCAGGAGAAUGGCGUGAACCCGGGAGGCGGAGCUUGCAGUGAGCUGAGAUCAAGCCACUGCACUCCAGCCUGGGUGACAGAGCGAGACUCUGUCUCAAAAAAAAUAAAUAAAAUAAAAAAUUAAAAAAUUAAAAAAAAAUAAAAAUAAAUUAAAAUCAGAUCACGAGAGUGGGUCCGAAUCCAAUGUGACUGGUGUCCUUACAAGAUGAUAUUUGGACGCAGAGACAUACAAAGAGAUGCUGAUGGGAAGAGUCACAGGCAGAAGACAGUCAUGUACAAGCUAAGCAGAGAGGCCUGGAACGGGUAUUUCCCCCAGAAAGAACCAACCUGCUUACACCUUGACCAUGGAUUUCUACUGUCUAGAAUGUGAGAAAAUGAAUUUCUGUUGUUUAAGCCACCGUGUCUGUAAUAGUUUGUUAGGGGAACCCUAGCAAAUUAAUAUAUAGAGGCUUAGAUGCUGGAAGGUCUGCAUAGCCUUAGGUUGCCUGGACCAAAGAAUGCAUCUGAAUGAGGGAUAUGUUUGUACUUAU
rnacentral:lncRNA from 10 species